rnacentral:rRNA from 1 species
UAGUAACGGCGAGUGAAGCGGCAACAGCUCAAAUUUGAAAUCUGGCUUCGGCCCGAGUUGUAAUUUGUAGAGGAAGCUUUUGGCGCGGCACCUUCUGAGUCCCCUGGAACGGGGCGCCAUAGAGGGUGAGAGCCCCGUAUAGUUGGAUGCCCAGCCUGUGUAAAGCUCCUUCGACGAGUCGAGUAGUUUGGGAAUGCUGCUCAAAAUGGGAGGUAAAUUUCUUCUAAAGCUAAAUACCGGCCAGAGACCGAUAGCGCACAAGUAGAGUGAUCGAAAGAUGAAAAGCACUUUGAAAAGAGGGUUAAAUAGCACGUGAAAUUGUUGAAAGGGAAGCGCUUGUGACCAGACUUGCGCCGGGCUGAUCAUCCGGUGUUCUCACCGGUGCACUCUGCCCGGCUCAGGCCAGCAUCGGUUCUCGCGGGGGGAUAAAGGCCCUGGGAAUGUAGCUCCUUCGGGAGUGUUAUAGCCCGGGGCGUAAUGCCCUCGCGGGGACCGAGGCUCGCGCUCUGCAAGGAUGCUGGCGUAAUGGUCACCAGCGACCCGUCUUGAAACACGGACCAAGGAGUCAAGGUUUUGCGCGAGUGUUUGGGUGUAAAACCCGCACGCGUAAUGAAAGUGAACGUAGGUGAGAGCUUCGGCGCAUCAUCGACCGAUCCUGAUGUAUUCGGAUGGAUUUGAGUAGGAGCGUUAAGCCUUGGACCCGAAAGAUGGUGAACUAUGCUUGGAUAGGGUGAAGCCAGAGGAAACUCUGGUGGAGGCUCGCAGCGGUUCUGACGUGCAAAUCGAUCGUCAAAUCUGAGCAUGGGGGGCGAAAGACUAAUCGAACCAUCUAGUAGCUG